rnacentral:rRNA from 1 species
CGCGUGGGUAAUCUGCCCUUGAAUUUGGGAUAACACUUCGAAAGGAGUGCUAAUACCGGAUAACAUUUAAUUGACUGCGGUUAAUUAGAUCAAAGAUAGCCUCUUCAUGAAAGCUAUUGUUUAGGGGUGAGCCCGCGUACCAUUAGCUUGUUGGUGGGGUAACGGCCUACCAAGGCGACGAUGGUUAGCUGGUCUGAGAGGAUGAUCAGCCACACUGGAACUGGAACACGGUCCAG